rnacentral:rRNA from 1 species
AUUGAACGCUGGCGGCAUGCCUUACACAUGCAAGUCGAACGGCAGCACGGGAGCAAUCCUGGUGGCGAGUGGCGAACGGGUGAGUAAUAUAUCGGAACGUGCCCAGUCGUGGGGAUAACGUAGCGAAAGCUACGCUAAUACCGCAUACGAUCUAUGGAUGAAAGCGGGGGAUCGCAAGACCUCGCGCGAUUGGAGCGGCCGAUAUCAGAUUAGGUAGUUGGUGAGGUAAAGGCUCACCAAGCCGACGAUCUGUAGCUGGUCUGAGAGGACGACCAGCCACACUGGGACUGAGACACGGCCCAGACUCCUACGGGAGGCAGCAGUGGGGAAUUUUGGACAAUGGGCGCAAGCCUGAUCCAGCAAUGCCGCGUGCAGGAUGAAGGCCUUCGGUU